rnacentral:rRNA from 1 species
GUGGAUGCCUAGGCACCAAGAGCCGACGAAGGACGUGGCUAAGCUGCGAAAAGCCCCGGAGAGACGCAAGCGGUCAUUGACCCGGGGGUGUCCGAGAUUCGGAAACGACACGGACUAGACGUUCGUGAGCCGUACGUGAAUCCAUAGCGUGCGGUAGGGAACGCAGGGAACUGACCCAUCUAAGUACCUGCAGGAAAGGAAAGAGACAUCGAUUCCCCCAGUAGCGGCGAGCGAAAAGGGAAGAGCCCA